rnacentral:rRNA from 1 species
AGUCGAGCGGUAAGGCCACUUCGGUGGUACACGAGCGGCGAACGGGUGAGUAACACGUGAGCAACCUGCCCUUCUCUUUGGAAUAAGCGUUGGAAACGACGUCUAAUGCCGAAUAUGACCUCUUUUCGCAUGAUUUGAGGUGGAAAGCUCCGGCGGAGAGGGAUGGGCUCGCGGCCUAUCAGCUAGUUGGUGUGGGUAAUGGCCCACCAAGGCGACGACGGGUAGCCGGCCUGAGAGGGUGACCGGCCACACUGGGACUGAGACACGGCCCAGACUCCUACGGGAGGCAGCAGUGGGGAAUAUUGGACAAUGGGCGAAAGCCUGAUCCAGCCAUGCCGCGUGUGUGAAGAAGGUCUUCGGAUUGUAGAGCACUUUAAGUUGGGAGGAAGGGCAGUAAAUUAAUACUUUGCUGUUUUGACGUUACCGACAGAAUAAGCACCGGCUAACUCUGUGCCAGCAGCCGCGGUAAUACAGAGGGUGCAAGCGUUAUCCGGAAUUAUUGGGCGUAAAGAGCUCGUAGGCGGUUUGUCGCGUCUGCUGUGAAAGACCGGGGCUCAACUCCGGUUCUGCAGUGGGUACGGGCAGACUAGAGUGCAGUAGGGGAGACUGGAAUUCCUGGUGUAGCGGUGAAAUGCGCAGAUAUCA